UUUUGCAAAAUUAAUGGAUAAAAAAUUAGAACGAUGUCCAUGUACCAUGAAAAGAAGUUUAUCAGACAUUAAUACAAAGGUAUAAUGUGGUUUUAAAUUUUAAAACAAAUUUAAAGAUUAUAGGCUUCAUAUAUAGAGCAUUUACCGAAAACUCACUAUUUUCGUAGGGGGGUUGGUUAACACAUUGAUUUUGAAAAAAAAAUCAAAAAAAUUGAAAAUACUGUUUUAAUACAUAUUUGAAUCAUGUAAUAAAAUAUGAUGAAGUUCAAAGAGGUUUGGAACCUUUGUUGUCUCCG
rnacentral:lncRNA from 1 species